CCCCUGUAGUACCUCUUACCUCACCCCGGUUCCAAGUCUGGCAGUAUCCACCGAUAGACUACCAGUUAAGCUGGCAGAUUUCCCGGAAGACUGACCAAACAGGCUACGGACCCUUUAGACCCAAUAAUAACGAUCACCACUCGGGCCGCCGGUGUUACCGCGGCGGCUGGCACCGGUCUUGCCCGGCCCUUGCUAACAGGUGCAAGUUAAGCACCUGGACAGCCAGCAAUUCUUGCUAGCACUCGGUGUCCCCUUAUCACGGUGACCCGCAUUGUAAAGAUUUCGCGCCUGCUGCGCCCCGUAGGGCCUGGAUUAUUGUCUCAGAAUCCAUCUCCGGGCUCUUGCUCUCACAACCCGUACCCGUCGUAGGCUAGCAGGUACAUUACACCCGCUACUACCUGAUAGGCCGCAGACCCAUCCUUGGGCGGAAAAAAACCGUUUAAAACGUAAAGCAUUCCAGCAGAUACGGAGUAUCCGAUAUUAUCCCCAGUUUCCCGGGGUUAUGCCGGUCCCAAGGGCAGGUUAUCCACGUGUUACUGAGCAAUAUGCCAUGUUCACGAAGAACAUAUGACUCGCAUGGCUUAGACGAACACCGAUAGCAGUGACCUCUGGCAGGAUCAACCGGA
rnacentral:rRNA from 1 species